GACGAACGCUGGCGGCGCGCCUAACACAUGCAAGUCGAACGAGCGAGAGAGAGCUUGCUUUCUCGAGCGAGUGGCGAACGGGUGAGUAACGCGUGAGGAACCUGCCUCAAAGAGGGGGACAACAGUUGGAAACGACUGCUAAUACCGCAUAAGCCCACGGGUCGGCAUCGACCAGAGGGAAAAGGAGCAAUCCGCUUUGAGAUGGCCUCGCGUCCGAUUAGCUAGUUGGUGAGGUAACGGCCCACCAAGGCAACGAUCGGUAGCCGGACUGAGAGGUUGAACGGCCACAUUGGGACUGAGACACGGCCCAGACUCCUACGGGAGGCAGCAGUGGGGAAUAUUGCACAAUGGGGGAAACCCUGAUGCAGCGACGCCGCGUGGAGGAAGAAGGUCUUCGGAUUGUAAACUCCUGUUGUUGAGGAAGAUAAUGACGGUACUCAACAAGGAAGUGACGGCUAACUACGUGCCAGCAGCCGCGGUAAAACGUAGGUCACAAGCGUUGUCCGGAAUUACUGGGUGUAAAGGGAGCGCAGGCGGGAAGACAAGUUGGAAGUGAAAUCCAUGGGCUCAACCCAUGAACUGCUUUCAAAACUGUUUUUCUUGAGUAGUGCAGAGGUAGGCGGAAUUCCCGGUGUAGCGGUGGAAUGCGUAGAUAUCGGGAGGAACACCAGUGGCGAAGGCGGCCUACUGGGCACCAACUGACGCUGAGGCUCGAAAGUGUGGGUAGCAAACAGGAUUAGAUACCCUGGUAGUCCACACCGUAAACGAUGAUUACUAGGUGUUGGAGGAUUGACCCCUUCAGUGCCGCAGUUAACACAAUAAGUAAUCCACCUGGGGAGUACGACCGCAAGGUUGAAACUCAAAGGAAUUGACGGGGGCCCGCACAAGCAGUGGAGUAUGUGGUUUAAUUCGACGCAACGCGAAGAACCUUACCAAGUCUUGACAUCCCUUGACGAUGCUGGAAACAGUAUUUCUCUUCGGAGCAAGGAGACAGGUGGUGCAUGGUUGUCGUCAGCUCGUGUCGUGAGAUGUUGGGUUAAGUCCCGCAACGAGCGCAACCCUUAUGGUCAGUUACUACGCAAGAGGACUCUGGCCAGACUGCCGUUGACAAAACGGAGGAAGGUGGGGAUGACGUCAAAUCAUCAUGCUCUUUAUGACUUGGGCUACACACGUACUACAAUGGCGUUAAACAAAGAGAAGCAAGACCGCGAGGUGGAGCAAAACUCAGAAACAACGUCCCAGUUCGGACUGCAGGCUGCAACUCGCCUGCACGAAGUCGGAAUUGCUAGUAAUCGUGGAUCAGCAUGCCACGGUGAAUACGUUCCCGGGCCU
rnacentral:rRNA from 1 species